AUUGAACGCUGGCGGCAGGCCUAACACAUGCCAGUCGAGCGGAUGAAGGGAGCUUGCUCCUGGAUUCAGCGGCGGACGGGUGAGUAAUGCCUAGGAAUCUGCCUGGUAGUGGGGGAUAACGUCCGGAAACGGGCGCUAAUACCGCAUACGUCCUGAGGGAGAAAGUGGGGGAUCUUCGGACCUCACGCUAUCAGAUGAGCCUAGGUCGGAUUAGCUAGUUGGUGGGGUAAAGGCCUACCAAGGCGACGAUCCGUAACUGGUCUGAGAGGAUGAUCAGUCACACUGGAACUGAGACACGGUCCAGACUCCUACGGGAGGCAGCAGUAGGGAAUAUUGGAAAAUGGGCGAAAGCCUGAACGAGCCAUGACGCGUGUGUGAAGAAGGUAUUCGGAUUGUAAAAAACUUUAAGUUGGGAGGAAGGGAAGUAAGAUAAUACCUUGCUGUUUUGACGUUACCAACAGAAUAAGCAACGGCUAACUACGUG
rnacentral:rRNA from 1 species